rnacentral:ncRNA from 2 species
CUCCUCGCCCGGGGGAGCCUCGCCCGGCCGCUCCGGCGGCCGCAGGAGGCUGAGAGGCCGAUGAGCGACAGCGGCUCGGCGACCCUUCGAACCUGAUCCAGUUCGCGCUGGCGUAGGGAGGUCGCAUGCACCCGAU